rnacentral:lncRNA from 1 species
GGCUAGAAAAUGACGCAUAAUGAACAACACAAUGGUCAUGGUGGUGUGUGCAGAUUCUUGAAGUUAGCAGAGUCACUAGACAUCUGUCAAAUAUAAAAUAUAUUGUUACUUUUUGUUUACUAACUUUAUAUAAAUAUAUCAAAUCAACAAUCAAUGAAACAAAUCACAUUAUAUUGUUUGUUGUUUUUUUUGAUGGGGCUAAACGUCACUUUUUACACCAUGAGUAAUUUCAUGACGGUUAGUUUUAUUGAUGGAGGAAACAGCAAACCUGCU